UACGUAGGUCCCGAGCGUUGUCCGGAUUUAUUGGGCGUAAAGCGAGCGCGGGUGGUUUAUUAAGUCUGGUGUAAAAGGCAGUGGCUCAACCAUUGUAUGCAUUGGAAACUGGUAGACUUGAGUGCAGGAGAGGAGAGUGGAAUUCCAUGUGUAGCGGUGAAAUGCGUAGAUAUAUGGAGGAACACCGGUGGCGAAAGCGGCUCUCUGGCCUGUAACUGACACUGAGGCACGAAAGCGUGGGGAGCAAACAGG
rnacentral:rRNA from 1 species